CUCCCACCAGCAUUUUUUUUUUUUUUUUGCCUCAGAUUUGACAUCAAACCAUUUUUUUUUUUACUUCAUCAGUUGCGCGACCUUCUCCGGAUACAGCGUUCACUGAACGAGUAAUAGCAUCCGGUGCACCUUUUUUUGUGUUAUUUUAUAUCCACUACUGACGCUACUAAAUAUACUUCCGGCAGUAGUACCUCCACUUCAGAACUACUGAAGUUUUUCUUACGUUUGGAGUCCGGUGCUCCACCGUCUUUAAAUUUUCAUUUGGGCAUUCUUGACUUCUCUCUCAACUUUUCUUUUCGAUUUCUGUGUGUGAUUUCUGUGUGUGCACACGGCCCUGUAGUCUCAUGCCCUUUUAUGGCGGGGCGUUUACCUAUGCUAAUUAGGAACAACUGGCACGCGCUUUACAUUUACUAAGACAAUGGGAUUCAUCAUUUUAAGAACACGAGUGCGAACAAUUCUGCGGUUUAAGAACACGCUGUGAAUUUGACGUAGACUUUUCUCAGGAUCUUUCUUAAGUACAAAUUUAAGAAAAAACUUAGGAAGAUAUUGGUGAAUGAGGCCCAGCGUCCCCAUUUCACCAAACGUCCAGGGGCCUUAUGUAUCAAACAUCUUAAUAAUUACACUUAAGAAUCUCAUAACAGCUUACUUUGGAGUGAAAUCAUUCUUCGCUUAAAGUGGUCGGUAAAACAUAGUUAUCAGGCAGCUCACACUUUCUCAGAGGUAAGUCUUGAGACAUUCUCAAGAGUAACGCUUAAGUGUGUUUCUGUGACAAUCACAGGUGCUGCAAACAAAAGGAUUAAGAUGAUGUCAUCAAUUUCCGAAAUUGCUAAGAGACAAGAACCAAUCAGCUUUUGGGAAAUAUGUGUUCUAUUGAUGGGUCAACAGAAGUUUUCAAUAAAGUUGAACACACCCUCAUUAUGAAAGCUCCCUUGUUGUCUAAUGUUAGUCUAAGCAAAAUGGAUGUGAAAAGAAAGCCGAAUUGGACUGUGGAAGAAACGGUGAUGUUGGUAGAGGAGGUGAAGGCAAAGAAGGGAAAAUUUAGCCCCACAUUUACAAGUCGACACAAAAAAGAAGUUUGGAAGCAGAUCGCAGACAGCAGACAGUGAGUUUCUCCUCCACCAUUCGGAGGAAUGCAAAAAGAAAUGGCACAAUGUUUUGUCCAAAGCGCGUCAGGAAAUCUCCCCUUUCAAGAAGGCAACAUCUGGCACUGGUGGAGGUCCUGCGCCUAAACCUUUAAGCGCAGUGGCAGAAGUAGUUCUCCACAAUCAGUAGUAAUGCCACAAUCAGUGGAGUGGGCGACUGUCAGGAUGCUGCACUACUCAAACUGCAGACCGUAGUAUGUAAUGCAGAUGAAAACACCAUCUCGUCCCCUCAUGAGCUGCCUGUAGAGGAACUCCCAGCUGCAACAGCACUGCAUCCAGGCCCAUCUGGCAUUCCCUCUCCAGCAGCAGGCCCAGAGCCCCUGCUCCCUGAGCCCCCACUGGCCACUGCCACUCCACGGCUCAACCCGGACGAGGUGGAGGACAUGGAUGCACUGCGGAGAGAAGAGUUGCGGAUGAGCAUAAAAGUUUUAAGGAUGAAGGAGCAUUAUUAUGAACUAAAAAUAAAAAAGAUGAAAUCUU